UACGUAGGGUGCGAGCGUUAAUCGGAAUUACUGGGCGUAAAGCGUGCGCAGGCGGUUCGUUGUGUCUGAUGUGAAAGCCCCGGGCUCAACCUGGGAAUGGCAUUGGAAACUGGCGAGCUGGAGUGUGGCAGAGGGGGGUGGAAUUCCGCGUGUAGCAGUGAAAUGCGUAGAGAUGCGGAGGAACACCGAUGGCGAAGGCAGCCCCCUGGGCCAACACUGACGCUCAGGCACGAAAGCGUGGGGAGCAAAUGGG
rnacentral:rRNA from 1 species